rnacentral:lncRNA from 1 species
ACCAACUACUUCAGGGCGGUAGUACCCAAACACCCGAAGUAACCAGCACAACCACGCACACAAGUCCAUGCAAAUCGUACAGCGGCACUCCCAAUUCACAGGAAACUUUAGUUUUCUCGACGCUUCGCUUACAAAGCUAUGAGAUUGUGUGAAGAAGGGGGCAAUAGCUUCAUCCGUGGCCACCACUAGCCUGGCAGUGUUUACCUUCCCGGGUGUGUUUGGGUGCACCCUCAUGCUCAUGCUUUUGACCCAUGCCGACUUCUGAAACGUCAGUGGCAUUUUCGGGUCCAGCACGCACCAUCAGCACAUCCCGUGGAAUCUGUGCCUGGAAUCAACGGCGGC